rnacentral:rRNA from 1 species
UUCUUCUGCAGGUACCGUCAUUWGUCGCAGGUAUKAGCUGCAACCGUUUCUUCCCUGCUGAAAGAGCUUUACAACCCGAAGGCCUUCUUCACUCACGCGGAAUGGCUGGAUCAGGGUUUCCCCCAUUGUCCAAAAUUCCCCACUGCUGCCUCCCGUAGGAGUCUGGGCCGUGUCUCAGUCCCAGUGUGGCUGAUCAUCCUCUCAGACCAGCUACUGAUCGUCGCCUUGGUGAGCCUUUACCUCACCAACUAGCUAAUCAGGCGUAGGCCACUCCAAUAACGCGAGGUUCUUGCGAAUCCCCCGCUUUCCCCCUUGGGGCGUAUGCGGUAUUAGCACAGCUUUCGCUGCGUUAUCCCCCAUUACUGGACAUGUUCCUACGUAUUACUCACCCGUUCGCCACUCGCCACCAGGGUUGCCCCCGUGCUGCCGUUCGACUUGCAUGUGUAAAGCAUUCCGCCAGCGUUCAAUCUGAGCCAGGAUCAAACUCUAAUCACUAGUGAAUUCGCGGCCGCCUGCAUGUCGACCAUAUGGGAGAGCUCCCAACGCGUUGGAUGCAUAGCUUGAGUAUUCUAUAGUGUCACCUAAAUAGCUUG